GACGAACGCUGGCGGCGUGCUUAACACAUGCAAGUCGAACGGAAAGGCCCUGCUUUUGUGGGGUGCUCGAGUGGCGAACGGGUGAGUAACACGUGAGUAACCUGCCCUUGACUUUGGGAUAACUUCAGGAAACUGGGGCUAAUACCGGAUAGGAGCUCCUGCUGCAUGGUGGGGGUGGGAAAGUUUCGGCGGUUGGGGAUGGGCUCGCGGCUUAUCAGCUUGUUGGUGGGGUAGUGGCUUACCAAGGCUUUGACGGGUAGCCGGCCUGAGAGGGUGACCGGCCACAUUGGGACUGAGAUACGGCCCAGACUCCUACGGGAGGCAGCAGUGGGGAAUAUUGCACAAUGGGCGGAAGCCUGAUGCAGCAACGCCGCGUGCGGGAUGACGGCCUUCGGGUUGUAAACCGCUUUCGCCUGUGACGAAGCGUGAGUGACGGUAAUGGGUAAAGAAGCACCGGCUAACUACGUG
rnacentral:rRNA from 1 species